rnacentral:lncRNA from 1 species
CUCCAGGCCCAGAUCUGGGAAACAGAAAUUGGGAUCUGGGAUUGGGAUCUGGGAUUGGGAUUUGGGAUCCCCAGUGCUCCAGGCCAAGAUCUGGGGAACAGAAAUUGGGAUCAAAAAUUGGGAUCAGGGAUCUGGGAAUGGGAGCUGGGAAUGGGAUCAGGGAUUGGGAUCUGGGAAUGGGAUCAGGGAUUGGGAUUUGGGAAUGGGAUCUGGGAUCUGGGAAUGGGAUCUGGGAAUGGGAUCAGAUAAACCCCAAAGGGAUCCCCAGUACUCCAGGCCCAGAUUUGGGAACAGAAAUUGGGAUCUGGGAUUGGGAUCAGGGAUCUGGGAAUUGUUCUGGGAUCACGGAAUGGGAUGAAUUCCCCCAAAUCCUGCUGGGGAUCCCCCAAAUCCCAUUCCCAGCCCCAUUCCUGGGAUUUUGGGGGUUUUUGGGGUACCCUGGGUCAGCUCCUGCUCCCUCUGGAUCUCCCAUUCCCAGAUCCCAUUCCCAGCCCCAUUCCUGGGGUUUUGGGAUAUUUUUGGGAUAUUUUUGGGGUACCCUGGGUCAGAUCCUGCUCUCUCUGGAUCAGGGAUGAAUUCCCAGCCCCAUUCCCAGGAUUUUGGGGUAUAUUUGGGAUAUUUUGGGGUAUUUUUUGGGAUAUUUUUGGGGCAUUUUGGGGGUAUUUUUGGGAUAUUUUUGGGGCAUUUUUGGUGUAUUUUUGGGGAUAUUUUUGCUGUAUUUAUGGGGCAUUUUUGGGAUAUUUUUGGUGCAUUUUUGGGAUAUUUUUGAGGUAUUUUUUUGGUUAUUUUUGGGAUAUUUUUGGGAUAUUAUUGGGGGAUAUUUUGGGGCAUUUUUGGGAUAUUUUUGGGGUAUCUUGGGGUAAUUUUGGGGAUAUUUUUGGUGUAUUUUUGGGGAUAUUUUUGGGAUAUUUUGGGGCAUUUUUGGGAUACUUUUGGGGAUAUUUUGGGGCAUUUCUGGGAUAUUUUUGGGGUGUUUUGGGUACCCUGGGUGAGGUCCUGCUCCCUGUGGAUCUGCUGGAUGACAGCGUUGAUGUCCCGGAUCCCGCGGCGCCGCUCCUCCGUCUUCCGCGUCUUGUUGGCCACGUACUCCUGGGGGGAUCCUCGGGAUCAGCAUCCCAAAAAUCCCUGGGAUUAUCCCAAAC